ensembl:lncRNA
AAAAAAAAAAAAAAGUUACAUAUACAUAUUAAAUACGUUGCAUGUGUACAACCCUAAUACGUAACUAAUGCACCAUUUUUAUUUCUAAUUCAGAUAUUAUGUAGGUCUACUAACAGCACUAGCACUUUUCCAUUGUUUAGUGUUUGUUUUCUGUCUUGUUUUUUUCAUUUUAUUUUUGAAAAAUGAUAGCACAAAGAAUCAAUGGAAAUCUUUCUACAACACAUCAAGCGAUGUCCCUUUUUACGUUUUAGUGAGUGCACUCACUGUGUUGAACGGAGUUUUUUUUGUUUUAGUUGUACAACUUCUAGGAUUGCACAUUUUUCUGAUUUUAAAAAAAAUGACCACAUAUGAGUAUAUCGUUAACAGAUCGAACUCUAAGGAUAAAGAAAAUAAAAACACAAGGACGUGUUUAGAAUGGAUAGUCAUAGAUAAAAAGCGCUUGAAAAGCAAUAAUGAUAUUGAAAAUAUAGAAAAUCCAUAACAUUGAAUUAUCAAAAACUGAAAAAAAAUAAUAAAAUGUUAUUAAAACAAAUAAAAAGGAAAAAA